rnacentral:rRNA from 1 species
GAUGAACGCUGGCGGCGUGCCUAAUACAUGCAAGUCGAGCGAACAGAUGAGGAGCUUGCUCCUCUGACGUUAGCGGCGGACGGGUGAGUAACACGUGGAUAACCUACCUAUAAGACUGGGAUAACUUCGGGAAACCGGAGCUAAUACCGGAUAAUAUAUUGAACCGCAUGGUUCAAUAGUGAAAGACGGUUUUGCUGUCACUUAUAGAUGGAUCCGCGCCGCAUUAGCUAGUUGGUAAGGUAACGGCUUACCAAGGCAACGAUGCGUAGCCGACCUGGGAGGGUGAUCGGCCACACUGGAACUGAGACACGGUCCAGACUCCUACGGGAGGCAGCAGUAGGGAAUCUUCCGCAAUGGGCGAAAGCCUGACGGAGCAACGCCGCGUGAGUGAUGAAGGUCUUCGGAUCGUAAAACUCUGUUAUUAGGGAAGAACAAAUGUGUAAGUAACUAUGCACGUCUUGACGGUACCUAAUCAGAAAGCCACGGCUAACUACGUG